rnacentral:lncRNA from 1 species
GGUGCGAGGACUGCCAAGUAAAAUUUUUUAGGAAAACAUUUAAAAAUAAUUCUAUUAGAAUAUUUUGUGUUUCUAUUUAUUUUCAUUAAAUGUUCUAUGUUACGUGACAUUAUGUUUAUUCAAUUUAGUAUUUGAGUAUUCAAAUAAAUUAAGAUUUUUAAGUUUCCAAUUUAUAUUUCUGCUCGAUGUAUGAUUAUGAAAUGAUAUUGGCAACACCUCGAAAUUUAAGUACAUAAAAUUUGGGGCGUUACAAUAUGAUAUCAGAGCACAAUUCUACCUUUCUAUAGACACUUUUUUCUAUAAAAAAAAAUACUGGCAAAUUUUAUUUUCUUAAAAGUUUGAUAUUGGAUAUUUGUGUGUUUUAAUUAUUAAAUUGAUUUAAAAUAAUAACAUUUUUUGAUGGAUUUAAAAUUUAUGACCGUUUAGAGUUAAACUGCUAUUUUGUUAUUGCCAUGUUUUAAACUAUACAUAUUUACUGGAUUAGCCCUUCUUUCGAGAGAUGUUUUGUAUCCUAUAAAAAAAUAAUAAUAAAGGAGGUUAGUCACUAUCAUGCAUACACAUUCACGAAUUUAUCUUUUAAAUUUUAAAAUUCAGCAAGUUAGUAUACAAUAUGUUAAAAUUUCCAAGCUACCCUUUGCAUCCAUUAUCUAUACGCAUAAAUCAAAGUACAAAGCUUCAUAAAUUCUUUUUGUAUUCACAUAUCGGCAAGCCAUUAGCAAGAAAUGAAAUUUAUGAUAAAAAUUUUAAGAAACAAGAAUUUUAACAAAGUUCUUGGCAUCUAACAUUCACUAAUCAACUACCAUCUGAUGGACCAAAGGCAUUGCGUAGUAUGUUUUAUUUAAAUUUUUUACCGUGUGCAUGAGAUAUGCAUUCUUAUAUUUAACUUGAGAAAUGGUCGGAAUGAAAUGAAAUGUUAUAUUCUAGUAUAAAUUGAAGCAUGAUGUUAAAUAUAUUUGCUUCCAUUUAUUAAUUAUUUUCUCACAUACUUUUAAUCAAAUUUUAAUAGGGGCAUAAUAUUAUAUGUUAUCUUUAUAAUGAAUCAUGCAAGCAUAAAAGGCAAUAUGUUAUCACUAAUAAAAUAUUGAGCAUAACUAGACUUUGCUUGUAUGUGACAAUCAUGGCUAGAACGAUAGAGACCGCUAGAAAGACAACGGCUUGUAGGACUAUUCUAAACCAUGGGACAACAGUUAUCCAAGCCUACGAGAAUUAUGAGGUAGACCUGACUCACACACUUAUUAAGCAUGUGGAGGAAGUCUUUGCUAGGUAGCCUGCAACAAGGGGUGUAGGACAUGAUACUGCACUCCUUCAAGCUGUUAACAAUUUUAUCCAUACACAGCCCUGUCAAUGGAGAGACAUAGGCAUUUUUGUUAGGGACGAAAUGCUAGUGGGUAAACCUGUAGAGCACUCAAAAAGGAUCAAGUUCGAGCUAUACUAUGAAACUUUUUUAGAUAGGUGGAUUUCUACUCUCGAGCCCGAACUCGAGCCAGAUGAGGACCUAGAGGAAAACCCUGAUGAAGACCAGGAAGAGAAGCCGAAUUAUGAACCUAAUUCAGUGCAAGAGAACGAGCCGAAGCAUGUACCAGGACUACAGCCAAAACUAGAACCGGAGCAAAAGCUAGGGUUCAAACUAGACCUUAAUCUAGGGGUUGACCAUGAAUCUAAGCCCGAGUCAUGUAUAUCUUUAGAUGAUGAAGCCCCUCCAUUUAAGCUUCAUAGUAUUCAAAAUGUUUGGACAAGCGAAGAUGAAGACUAACAACCUAGAGAUAGUUUAGUUUAGAUAAAUAAUGUCUUCCCUUCCAAAAAAAAAAAAAUGUAAUCAGUACUUGAACUAAUUCAUAGGUUUUUCUUCUUUCAAUCAUCCCUAAUGUAUUCUAGGAUUUUAAAACUUUUAUGAAAUUGAGUUCUUCAUUCGAAUAUAUUGAGCUGUGUUGACUAUUUCUAAAACGAAUUUUAUUUGGUUCAUUUAAAGGAAAUAGCACGUCAACCAACACAAGCUACUAUGUUUAGGGAUUUGUUGAGUUUUGGAAGAUCUUGGUAGGCAGCAAAUGCAAGUGCCUUAUCAAAAUAUACAGACUAACUCCAGCACUAUGAGCUCAAUCCUGGAAGAGUUUCAUCGUUACAAGCCCCUACCUUUAAAGAGAUGGCUGGCCCUUUGGCAACCGAAGAAUGGAUAAAGGGUUCGGAAUGGAUCUUCAAGCAUCUCUAUGCCCAAAACGUUUUAUGUGCGGAGUUCAUGCUAGUUGAUGCACCAGCCCACUGGUGGGAGUUCAUUUCAUGCAUUAGGACUGAGGCACAACAACAUAACCUCACUUGGGCAUGUUUCAAAGAGGAGGUGAUUGAAAAAUAUUUUCCACAAGCUUUGAGAGAUCGUAAGGAAACAGGGUUUCUGCAACUUAAGUAGGGAAAGGUGUCAUCAGUUGAUUAUGAGAGGAAGUUCGAACAACUUUCUAGGUAUGUAACACAUCUUGAUAUGAUCCCGGGUGCACCAUCAAUUUCCAAGAAUUCAUUAAUUGAUUGGAGAAGGUCGAAGUCAAGAACCGAGCCAAGUCGAGACUUCCAAGUAGCUAAUAAAAUUGGUCACUUAUGUAUUCGAGCAACGGAGUCUAAAACCAUGAAGUUCACGUGUCAAGGAGUAAAUUUGAUGAAGGGGCCGAAGCCUAAUUCAAUUAGGAUUAGCUCGAUAAUUACAGCCGAAGACGGAGCCAAAAUCAAAGGUUGUGCGAUCGCAUAGCUUCCAACCCUUGCGAUCGCAUAGAAGCAAACAGGGAAUUUUUCGGCAGCAUUUGGAACAACCAUGCGACCGCACUAAAUUGUGCCAUGCGGUCCCAUAGCACUAAACGGAGGCGAAAUCUUUCAUUUUCUCGCGAAGUGUUUUAAUUGGUUGAAUUUCUUAUUUUUGGAAACUCUAAUAUUAUUAGGACUUUAGCACACGGUUUUUCCAUAUUUUAGGAGUUUAUUUUUAUCUUUAAUUAUUUUUCUAUAUUUCUAGUAUAAAUAGGAUUUUCUUUCAUAAUUGUAAUACAAGACUUUUAUUAUGAAAUUAGAGAAUUCUCUCUUGAAGCUUUGCUUCAUUUAUCUUUGUUCUUGAAUGGACAAAUCCGAACUUAUCAAGACUAAUCAUCUUGUGGCGUUCAAAACAUCGGCUUGAAUCAUUGAAUUGUGUAAUCCUCUUUCACGUCAUUGUUAUCAUUGGGUUUUUUGGUUAAUCUUUUAUUGGUUCAAAUCUACAAUCCGGGUGUGAUUUCUUCAGUCGUGUGAUCAAGAGGUCCUUCACAGCACCGUUCUUGUUGGGUUGCUUGGUUCACUAUUUUGGGGUCAGAUCCAUAAACCUUGGUCAUAUUGGCAUUCUUGGGAUCCGAUUCAAUAUCCUGUGGGUUCGAUUGCAACCUUGCUAAUCGGGUUUGCAUCACAUCUAGUGGAUACAGAGCAAAAGAAAGCUAGAAGAUUCUAACUCGGAUUGCACCCAAAAAUUGGAGGAUUUUGGCAUCUGAUGAAUUCACCAUGUAUAGUCAGGUUCUACAACGAGCUUAAGCAAUUGCAAAUUGACUAGAACUUGAUCAGACAACUCAGGAAAGUACUGAAUUUUUCGGAAAGGGGAAAUAGAAUAGGGCAAAUGAAGGUAAAGGAAAUGGACAAAAUAAGAGGGCUAGUGUUGAAACGUGGUCAGGGCCAGGUAAGCCAAAUAAUGUUCUUACUCCAUGUCCUAAGUGCAAUAAAGACCAUAGAGACGAGUGUUUAUAUGGAAAGAAUGUAUGCUAUCGAUGUGAAAAGCAUGGUCAUUCUACCAAUUGCCCCCCACUAAAGAGGGACAACAAACAAAGCAAAAAGAGACCAGCUAAAGGCUUUAACCCAAUGAGAAGCAAUUGAGAAUUAGGAUAUGAUGGCAGGUAUUCUAUCAAUAUCUGAACUGCUUGCUUAUGUUCUUAUAUACUCAGGAGUUGCUCAUUCUUUGUUUAUACUGUUUUCAUUGCUAAAUCUCGUAUUAUUUGAGAAGAAGCCAUUAGUGUUUUGGAAGUUACUAUCCCAUUAACAGUACACUUAAUACAAAUCAAAUCGAUAGAGUGGUCAAAAUAGAAAAGAAUGUGUAGCUAACAUAUACCUUUUAGAGAUGAAGUUUUUCUUUUUCUUUUUUCUUUUUUUAUUUUUUAAAUGCCAUCUUAGAAAUGUAUUGGUUGGUAAAUAUUUGGGCAACUAUAUGAUGCUCUAAAAAGAAGGAAAUUUUUCAAAAGUCUGGAGAAGAUGAGACCAAGGUAAGAUAUCUUAGACUUUUCACUCGGAUAACAAAUUUCAAAGAUGAAAUUACCUUAAGGGAGUGAGAUUGUAACACCCUGAAAUUUUAUGGAAUAGAAAUUUGGUCUAGUCAAGUUUUUAGGCAAGUCAAUUAAAUAUACCUAAGAUUUAAGUUAGAUCAUUAUGAAUAUCUUUAUAGUGGAGGAAUUUAAAGUGAAAAUAUGUUUUACAUUCUUAUAUCUUUGGGUAAAUAAAAGUAGACUUUUAUAGAGUGAGAUUCAGUAUAUCAAUAUCGGGCUCAUUUUGUAGUCCGAAUAAAAUAAUGUAUGUUGAGCUUAAGAAAAUAUAAUGUCAUGUAAGUUAAGCCCAAUUUAUUUCAAUUCAAGGAAACAUAUUUAAUAAGUAAUUUUUUUAUUAAUAAUGUACUUUUUAAGAUAAUUAGCAAAAGAUUAUAAUAUAUAAUCACGUUUAUCUUUAAUUUGAUAAAGAUUGAAUCAUAUCCAAAUUCUAUUUUUAAUUUAAAACCAAUUAUAUCAAAGUCAGUUUUUUUCCCUACGUGUACACGUGUUGCAUAUAAUUUUGCAAGGUAAUAUUAUAUAAUGUAAUUUAUCUUUAUUUUAUCCCAUCAACUCCUAUCACUUUGCUUAUGGGACACGGCCAUUCCAAUCCUUUUGCUGCAAAUGUAAUGAUUACCUUACUUUUUGACUAGAAAUAAUUUAUUUAAAUACAUUAAGGGAUAACUUCAUCUGUCUAAUAGUUAAUUAUUGUGAAUUAGGAAGUUGAUAAAGUUCUGAACCACGGUCAGGAGCAAAUUUCAGAAUUGAUAGGUUCCAAUUUAGCCCCUGUUUGAUUUUCAUUACAUUACAUUACAUUACAUUCUAUUUUUCUCUAUCCUAUUUUCAACCACACAAUCUUCCAUAAAAUAAUAUUACACGUUAAUCGAAAUUUUUUCUUUCUUUUUCAACCACUCAUUUUUCAAAAAACACUAUUCUAUACAUUAAAUUUUCCCCGUAAUGGGGGCCAAACAGGGGCUUAAUUAUAACUACUACAGCCCCGAUGUAGACUAGUUUAGGUUAUCCUACAUUUUUCAUCAAGAUUAAAAGUCAAAUGAUAACCCUAUUUGGUUUAGACUUUAUUAUUACAAAUCUAAAAUUAGUCUUCAAAUUCAACUCCACGUGUCAUUGUGGAUGAUUAUGAGUUAUUAUGAAAGUAUAAUCCAAACAUUGAAACCUAGAUUUAUCCUAAUUUGGCAAGUGGUUCACGGCUUCUCAAUUUCCAAUGCACCAGGACUUUUUUUAAACUAUAAAGUUAAAUUUUAGUCCCAUAUUUUUCAUAUUCUCCAUCAAUAAUUACGUUUAAGGCAGUCAAGGAACUUUGGAAAUUGGAAUAUUCUUUUGGAUUAUUCUUUCGAAAAUUUGUUGAUCUAACAAGGUAUGAUACUAUGUGCAAGUUGAUCUAUCCUUGCAAUAUUAUAAUUUUUUACGUCAUUUAUUUCAUGAAAUGCUAAUUGACUUGCGAUUCCUUAUGAAAUGAAAUGUGAGAUUUCCUUCAAACUUUUUCAAUUGUGGUACAGAAAUGUGUUAGAGCAUUCGAUUGAUCACUAAUUGCUCUUAAUGAAAUGAUGGUAUGAAAUGUUAUAAAUUUAUGUUUAAAAAGUUGUUAUAUUGUUAUGCACAUAUCUUACUGAAUAUAAAUUACUCAUUCCUUCAAUUUUAACAUUUCAGGUUAGAUCCGUCAACUUGGAUGGUGGCUGAGCGGUGCGAGGGUUGUCAAGUAAAAUUUUUUAGGAAAACAUUUAAAAAUAAUUAUGUUAGGAUAUUUUUGUGUUUCUAUUUAUUUUCAUUAAAAAAUGUUACGCGACAUUAUGUUUAUUGAAUUUAGUAUUUGGGUGUUCAAAUAGAUUAAGAUUUUUAAGUUUCCAAUUUAUAUUUCCGCUUGAUGUAUGAUUACGAAAUGAUAUUGGUAAUACGUCAAUAUUUAAGUCCAUAAAAUUUGGGACGUUAUAGAUAUGCUUACAUGUUGAUGUUGUUGUUCAAUAUGGUUGAAUUAGAUUAGUUCGAUGGCAGGCAAGAAUAUAGAAUAUGUCAUUGUUGUAGACAGAGAGGACAUAUGCUGCCAGCAUGCCUAAAAAAGAGAAGAUACCCAAAUUGUGGUAAGGGCUUCGUCAAAUGGGUAGAAGUCGAAAAGAACAAUGACCACAAAAGUUGUUGUUUCAAUAUUCUACUUGUGAUUGUAGGUACUUCAAGUGGUGUAAAAAAUUCCCCUACGAAGAGUGUCCAUUGCAUGAUGAUGGUGAAUCAAUUGGCAUUACAAAUGGAGGUGAACAUGAGGAUGAUUUGUCGCACAUGUUGAAAAUGCUUGCUAAGCUAAGCAAGGAAAAUGACUUGGAGAUUUCGCUCCAAAUAAAUAUACGCAAAAGGAAACAAGUUUCAGGAAAUGUAAUCUAAAAUUUGAUGUAUUAGGAUGGUGAUGAAUGGUUUCUACGUGGUGAUCGUUUGGAAUUGUAAAUCUAAACUCUUUCUAACUGUUUGUAAUCA